rnacentral:lncRNA from 1 species
CCCUUUCUCAGAGCUUCAGGGCUCCUUGGCCUUCGGCUCCAAGGCUUCGGCUCUCUCACUCUCUCAUUCAGUAUUCUAGGGGGUCUGUCACUUGGGGUUGCCGGCAAAGGCUUAAAUAAUUUGUUUAGAGGAUGAGACCCCCCCUCUGAGAGGUCCCAUCCUCUCCAUUCCUCCCUGCUCCGGGACUGGCCGCCGCCCCCCCUGUCUCCGGCGCGCCGGCAUCGGCUGCCAGCAGGGGGUGAGGUAACCCUUCCCUGUCGGUCUUAUCCCUUUCGUUUUUUUUUUUUUUUAACCAUUAUAAUAACCAUUAUAAUAAUACUGCCCAUAGUGAAAUUUGGGCCCAAACCCUUAACUGGGCCUAUUUCUUAUUGGGCCUAGUAGGUUGUGGGCCCGGACAUUACAA